GACGAACGCUGGCGGCGUGCCUAAUACAUGCAAGUAGAACGCUGAAGGAGGAGCUUGCUCUUCUGGAUGAGUUGCGAACGGGUGAGUAACGCGUAGGUAACCUGCCUGGUAGAGGGGGAUAACUAUUGGAAACGAUAGCUAAUACCGCAUAAGAGUAGAUGUUGCAUGACAUUUACUUAAAAGGUGCAAUUGUAUCACUACCAGAUGGACCUGCGUUGUAUUAGCUAGUUGGUGGGGUAACGGCUUACCACGGCGACGAUACAUAGCCGACCUGAGAGGGGGAUCGGCCACACUGGGACUGAGACACGGCCCAGACUCCUACGGGAGGCAGCAGUAGGGAAUCUUCGGCAAUGGACGGAAGGCUGACCGAGCAACGCCGCGUGAGUGAAGAAGGUUUUCGGAUCGUAAAGCUCUGUUGUAAGAGAAGAACGAGUGUGAGAGUGGAAAGUUCACACUGUGACGGUAGCUUACCAGAAAGAGACGGCUAACUACGUG
rnacentral:rRNA from 1 species